rnacentral:rRNA from 1 species
AUUGAACGCUGGCGGCAGGCCUAACACAUGCAAGUCGAGCGGAUGAAGGGAGCUUGCUCCUGGACUCAGCGGCGGACGGGUGAGUAAUGCCUAGGAAUCUGCCUGGUAGUGGGGGAUAACGUCCGGAAACGGGCGCUAAUACCGCAUACGUCCUGAGGGAGAAAGUGGGGGAUCUUCGGACCUCACGCUAUCAGAUGAGCCUAGGUCGGAUUAGCUAGUUGGUGGGGUAAAGGCCUACCAAGGCGACGAUCCGUAACUGGUCUGAGAGGAUGAUCAGUCACACUGGAACUGAGACACGGUCCAGACUCCUACGGGAGGCAGCAGUGGGGAAUAUUGGACAAUGGGCGAAAGCCUGAUCCAGCCAUGCCGCGUGUGUGAAGAAGGUCUUCGGACUGUAAAGCACUUUAAGUUGGGAGGAAGGGCAGUAAGUUAAUACCUUGCUGUUUUGACGUUACCAACAGAAUAAGCACCGGCUAACUUCGUG